ACUAGACAUGAUACACAUGCAGGUUAGUCUCCCUCAGGACAAGAUUGAGUGUACCCUGGCAAGUAUUGAACAUUACCUGCUACAAGGUUGUUGCAACCGGAAAUAACUACAAUCACCGCCAGGGUCGCUCAAUUUCGCCAUGAGGAUCAUACCACAAGGUAGAUCCUUUAUAUCCCACCUGCUAUCUUUAUUUCCACUAUUCACCUCAGACACUUCACGCAUCACAUUAGAUG